AUUGAACGCUGGCGGCAGGCUUAACACAUGCAAGUAGAACGAGUGGCGGACGGGUGAGUAAUGCUUGGGAAUAUAGCUUAUGGCGGGGGAUAACUACGGGAAACUGUAGCUAAUACCGCGUACCAUAGGAUGAGCCCAAGGGGGAUGAGGUAGUUGGUGAGGUAAAGGCUCACCAAGCCGACGAUCUCUAGCUGGUCUGAGAGGAUGACCAGCCACAGUGGGAAUGAGACACGGCCCAGACUCCUACGGGAGGCAGCAGUGGGGAAUAUGGCGCAAUGGGGGCAACCUGACGCAGCCAUGCCGCGUGAAUGAAUAAGGCCUUCGGGUUGUAAAGUUCUUUCGGUAGCGAGGCGUUAACUACAGAAGAAGCACCGGCUAACUCCGUGCCAGCAGCCGCGGUAAUUC
rnacentral:rRNA from 1 species